GUGCUUGAUUUGGCAGCACAUAUACUAAAAUUGGAAUGAUUCAGAGAAGAUUAGUAUGGCUCCUGCACAAGUAUAGCAUGUACAUUCAUAAAACAUUCCAUAUUUUA